UACGGGGGGAGCAAGCGUUGUUCGGAUUUACUGGGCGUAAAGAGCUCGUAGGCGGUUCGUCGCGUCGGCUGUGAAAACCCGGAGCUCAACUCCGGGCCUGCAGUCGAUACGGGCGGACUUGAGUGUUGCAGGGGAGACUGGAAUUCCUGGUGUAGCGGUGAAAUGCGCAGAUAUCAGGAGGAACACCGGUGGCGAAGGCGGGUCUCUGGGCAACUACUGACGCUGAGGAGCGAAAGCGUGGGGAGCGAACAGG
rnacentral:rRNA from 1 species